rnacentral:rRNA from 1 species
GAUGAACGCUGACAGCAUGCUUAACACAUCAGCAAUUGAUUGGUGGCGGACGGGUGAGUAACGCGUAAAGAACUUGCCUCACAGCUAGGAACAACAUUUGGAAACGAAUGCUAAUACCUAAUCCUGUGAGAGAGCUUUGCGUCCCAUUAGCUAGUUGGAGAGGUAACGGCUCACCAAGGCGAGGAUGGGUGGCCGGCCUGAGAGGGUGAUCGGCCACAAGGGGACUGGGGCACGGCCAUUACUCCUACUGGCGGAAGCGGUGGAAAACAUUGGACAAUGGACCAAAGUCUGAUCAAGCAAUUCUGUGUGCAAGAUGAAGUUUUCGGAAGGUAAAGUGCUUUCAGUUGGGAAGCGGUACCAACAGAAGAAGUGACGGCUAAAUACGUGCCAGCAGCCGCGGUAAUUC